rnacentral:tRNA from 1 species
GCGCGUGUAGCUCAGUGGAUAGAGCGAGGGCGUCCUAAGCCUUGCGUCGGGGGUUCGACUCCCUCCACGCGCA